UCGGGUGUGGUGCAGGGUGCACAUUGGCUUCUUGUAUGAAUUUAGCCAAUCUGAGAGCUGAAGAACGGGGUUUGACUCCCCGCAUCCGAA